GGUUUCCACAGGUUUCUUCAUGGUCAGUCUCUUGUAUCGGACCAUUGCUAUUCCAAUGAUUACCAAAGGUGUAAAUCAGCUCCUCUAUCUGACCAGUGUGGACACAAGGGUCGGCGAUCCCGUCAGCUGUGAUUCCAGCAGCCGGUUGAUCCUCUGAAGAUCCGACUGAGAAGCCACAAAGUAUCUUUCACUGAGGAGAACCUCAGAAAAACAGACAAACUGGUGGAGCUGACCAUCAGUAAACCAGGAGCCAAGGGUGAUGUUCCAGUCGGAGUGAUCGUGGGCAACGUUAUUGGUGGACUAGCGCUGUUAGCUGUGGCUCUUCUGUGGAAGUUUGAAUUUUUCAAAAGAAAGUACCAGCAGCUUCAAAGGGAGGCUGAAGGAGAGAGGCAGAGCAAUGCACAUGUUGAUGAGGUGCUGUGACCUGCUGAGAAAAGGUCCUGCUCUUCCUGCUGUGCUCUGAACUCUGACCAAGGACUUUCUCCAUUUCAGGGGAGGUGUUUCUACUGUCUUUGCUUCUGUAAACUGUACAUUAACUGUUUGUUUAGCUGUUGUGCACUGAAGCUGAAUGAAUACAAAACUGUAUUUUCUUGACGGAGACCUCACGUAAGUGAAUAAUGACUUUUGGGACCUAUGUUUGCUACAAAACAUAGGACAAAAUAUAUUUUUACAACAUGGGAGGUUAAAAAUUGUCAUAAAAAACUAUUUUUCCAAAAAUUAUUUUUCAAUAAAGCACUGUGAAAACUGCUUUAGCAAAUACAUGAGAUCUGCUCUCAACUCUGGUGCUCAGGAAAUGAUGUCAUUAGUAAUUACUAAUGAAGCAAUAGUUUUCCAGAUACGUUAGUAUAGGAUAUAAUAAGAUAUCAAACAGAUGUGUUAUUAUUCCUUUUCUUUGUGUUUGCACUGUAUAUGUUGUAAAAUAGAUUUGAGAUGUUUCUUAUGGAGGUUUUAUAUCUUUCGUGUUCGUGGUUCAUGACAAACUGUUUCUGUUAAUAAUCUUAUGGUAAGGUUAUAUUGGUGGGUAACUUGUUUCCCUGUUUUAAAAUUGCACAUGUGCAGCUUUGCCAUUUUAAACGAAUAAAUAUUAUUUUUUUAGAUGCA